rnacentral:rRNA from 1 species
GUACACUCCUGCGGGAGGCAGCAGUGGGGAAUAUUGGACAAUGGGCGCAAGCCUGAUCCAGCCAUGCCGCGUGAGUGAUGAAGGCCCUAGGGUUGUAAAGCUCUUUCACCGGUGAAGAUAAUGACGGUAACCGGAGAAGAAGCCCCGGCUAACUUCGUGCCAGCAGCCGCGGUAAUACGAAGGGGGCUAGCGUUGUUCGGAUUUACUGGGCGUAAAGCGCACGUAGGCGGACUAUUAAGUCAGGGGUGAAAUCCCGGGGCUCAACCCCGGAACUGCCUUUGAUACUGGUAGUCUUGAGUUCGAGAGAGGUGAGUGGAAUUCCGAGUGUAGAGGUGAAAUUCGUAGAUAUUCGGAGGAACACCAGUGGCGAAGGCGGCUCACUGGCUCGAUACUGACGCUGAGGUGCGAAAGCGUGGGGAGCAAACAGGAUUAGAAACCCCGGUAGUCCCAUGA